GCUGAAGGAGCCAUGAAGCAGAAAGUAUACGCAUCAGGGUGCUCAGUAUGCAACAAGGGGUGUGAGCUGUCAGAGACAGAGGGUGACUUUGCCAGAUCUGGAGGGUGAAAUCUAAGGAAGAGAAACUCUACUCCUAAUGACAUAAGAACUAUUGAGCUUUAAUACCCAGAACUACAAUCAGGUUCCGGAGUGAGGAGACAGACUUGGUCAAGCUGCUACCAAGGCAAGAUUUGGAAAAAAAAAAGAAAAGAAAAGAAAAAAAACUGCAAAUGAAAUAAACCUCUCAUCCUGAGUCCCCAUGAAAAGAACAACCACCCAGUGACCAGGAAUAUUCACUUCGACCAAAAAGAACUUGUGAAAGUUGUCAGAGUCAAAAUGGAGCCACUUGUGUUAAAGACUGUGCCAAGUGGCAUCGAGGAUGGCCGUGAACGGAGGGUUCUUAUGCACAAAUGCCUGACGGCAACGACUAUCACAAAAGACUCCGCAAAAACCACAACCUUGUGAAAGAAAGGCCCACCACAACCUUACUACACACAAAAAAACUUCUGCAAGGACAUCUGCACAGCAACUUCCUGUCUAACCUUGGACCGGCACCACCCUUGUUAUGGAUCCUUAUAGCUAACAAUAAUUAUCACAAAACAAUUUUAUAAUCUUCUUCAUUUUUCCUUUAAAAAUAUUUGUCUUCCUUUACCUACCUGAGCUGAGCAUGCAUGUAGUUUGCUAUGGUAUGUAUAUUGCUGUUACAAUGCCCAUUUUUGAAUAAAUAUCCUUUUCUUUCAGAGAGCCUCUCUCUGUUUUCUAAUGUGACAAACUCAAUUCUUAAGCUAAAGCUUAAGGAAGUAUUUUACAGCUUCCUCAAACAGUCAUCGGUUCUGUUAAAUAUUCUGACUUCCAGGUCCAGUGCAGACAUG
rnacentral:lncRNA from 10 species